rnacentral:lncRNA from 1 species
CAAGAGGACUGGAAAGAGAGACUGUCCUUUGUCCCUCAAACUCAGAAGACCAGCAUGAGCUUUUCUGAAAGGCGAGAGUAUAAUGUUCCAUCCCCAGUCAACAGCCACGUGUCUAGCCACUCCUUAUAUAGCUCCCAGUUGCCAUAUGUAUGCUACAGGAAGGAGUCCAGAAAUGAUUUGAAAGCAAUGUCCAUGGACACGAGGUCUGAAUACUGUCUUCCACUAGGUGGUUAUGACUAUAACCCACACCCAAGGGGGUGGAGACACCAACCAUGAAAGCUUGUGUGACAACCGUGUGAAUUUUGUUGUUAGUGGCCUUUGCAGGGUUCUUUACUUUAAAAAUAGACUUCAAUCCACUUUUAGUCCUAUGUGGUCACAGGUCAUUUAUCUGAGUGUACAUGUGUGUAAACACACAAGCGUGGAGCACUUCCUUGUCUGCUGAUGCCUAACGAACUGCUAG